rnacentral:lncRNA from 10 species
GGAAGGCCCUGGCUUUGUCAGGAGGUAGGAGAGAGGUGGUCUGCCACUGGGAGCUGACACAGUGGCUUGAGGAGGGGGCUGGAUGUUUGCAGCAGUUACUAAGGAGGUGAGAGAUGGAGCUGGUAAAGGCCAAUCCAAAGAGUAUCAAGUGGUCUGGGGGCCCAGGUGAGGCUGGAGCCACAGGUGGAGUUUUCUAAGAUAGUGCUGUGCAGAGCCGGGGAUGCAGGGCCACGCAGGGUGCAGAGGAGCAGGCUGGGUGGUCAGCCCUGCAGUCAGUUAAGUCAAUCGAGGAGGAAAUAGUGGGAGAGAAUAGAAAGAUCAAGACCCUGGAGGUCUCUCUAAAAUUAAGAGGCCAGCCAGGCACAGUGGCUCAUGCCUGUGACCCUAGCACUUUGGGAAGCUGAGGCAGGAGGAUCGCUUGAAUCCAGGAGUUUGACAUCAGCCUGGGCAACAUAGUGAGACCCCAUCUCUACAACAAGCAAAAAUGAAAAAAAUUACCCAGGUGGCAUGCCUGUAGUCCCAGCUACUUGGGAGGCUGAGGCGGGAGGAUCAAUUGAGCCUAGGAGCUCAAGGCUAUGGUGAGCUAUGAUCGCACUACUGUACUCCAGCCUGGGUAGCAAAGUGAGGACCCAUUUUUGUUUUUGUUUUUUAAUUUUAAUAAAGCCAAAUGACCAUGAUCAGGAAGGUGAGGUCCUGAGCACCCCGAAGGAACAGGAGGUGGCCACAGAGGGGUGAUGUGUUUGUGAUGUGAAGAAACAGUGGAUGAUGACAAAGCCCUCAAGGAACCGAGAGGCCGUCUUGGGUGGACCGUUAUAUGUCUGUUGACUUCACCUGGGAGGGUAGCAGGAGUGGGGGUGGGGAGAACUGAGUCAGGUGUCAAAGUCCCCUGUGACUGUCCAGGCUGCUGGAGAUCAGUGGAUGACAGCUUCAAGGAGGGGCACAGGUCAGCCGGGUGCAGUGGCUCACGCCUGUAAUCCCAGCACUUUGGAAGGCCUAGGCAGGUGGAUCACUUGGGGCCAGGAGUUCGAGACCAGCCUGGCCAACAUGGUGAAACUCUGUCUCUACUAAAAAUACAAAAAUUAGCCAGGCAUAGUGGCUCACGCCUGUAAUCCCAGCACUUUGGGAGGCCAAGGUGGGUAGAUCUCCUGAGGUCGGGAGUUUGAGACUAGCCUGGCCAACAUGGCGAAACCCCGUCUCUACUAAAAAUACAAAAAUUAGCCAGAGAUGGUGGCGCACGUCUGUAAUCCAAGAUACUGAGGAGGCUAAGGCAGGAGAAUCACUUAAACCUGGGAGGUGGAGGUUGCAGUGAGCCGAGAUCACACCACUGCACUCCAGCCUGGGCAACAGAGCGAGACUCCAUCUCAAAAAAAAAAAAAAGAAAGAAAGAAAAGAAAAAUGGAGAGGCACAGGUGAUAUGACCCCUGUGGCCCAACACCUACAAAGGUCUGGGGGUUGUCCAGGGAGCCUGCGAUGGCUGCUUCAUGAGUGCUGCCAUGUGAGGCCUCACUCAAGGCUUUUGUAGGAAUCGGGCAGCUAGAUUUUCCCCAGACGCAGUAACCUCAUGAAAAAGAAACGAUGCCUGCCUGCCAUCCAGUUCAUAAGUGGGACAAGAGAUGGAAGAAAGGAGGGGGGGCAGGAGGGAAGGGCCUUCCCCACAGGAGGCAUCGGAGCUUGGGGUCCCUCUCUAUCCCCUUCCGUCACUCGCUUCCCUGCAG